rnacentral:rRNA from 1 species
UGAGGAAUAUUGCGCAAUGGCCGAAAGGCUGACGCAGCGACGCCGCGUGAAGGAUGAAAUUCGUUAGAAUGUAAACUUCUUUUGUUGGGGAUGAAUGUGCCGUUUUACGGCAUUGACCGUACCCAGCGAAUAAGGAUCGGCUAACUACGUGCCAGCAGCCGCGGUAAUACGUAGGAUCCGAGCGUUGUCCGGAAUUACUGGGUGUAAAGGGCGUGUAGGUGGGUCUCUAAGUCGGUGGUGAAAGCCCGCAGCUUAACUGCGGAAUUGCCAUUGAUACUGGAGGUCUUGAGUGCGGCAGAGGGAAAUAGAAUUCAUGGUGUAGCGGUGAAAUGUGUAGAUAUCAUGAAGAAUACCGGUAGCGAAGGCGGUUUCCUGGCCCGUAACUGACACUGAGGCGCGA